ACAGCUCCACCUGGAGGCACAAAGCCUGGAGCCCCCGUGUCCUAAUUUAGGACACUUUGAAGAGCAUCCCAGUUCCAGAGCUCCCCACAGGAUCUGCCGAGGCCACCGUCCGCCGUCCACUCCUGCUGUCUUUCCUCAGCGAGUGCCUGCACACUGAUCUGAUGCUUUCCGAGUCAGCUUCCCAGGAACUGGACCCGGGCCCGGGAGACCUCUGGUCUGCAAGCCUUAAGAACGUAGUCCUGCACCCCAUUUUUUUAGCAUCACGUUGUGUGACUCAGGCCAGUCCCAGGUCCUCUCUGGGCCUUUAGCUGCAGAGGGAGCAGAUUUGACCGUAAAGUGCCGUCCAGCUUGGACCAUCCUCGAGCUGUGCUGAAACAUGAGCUCGGGGUCACUGGGCGAGAUCUGCUGUCUCCUGAGUGGGGACACAUGUCCCUGUUUACCUGUGGCCUUUUCAGUUGGCUUCCAGGAGUGCUCUUUGAGGGAUACCGAGAGCAAAUCCCCACCCAGGGCCCUGGGCAUCGCCCAGCACCUCAACCCUGAACCCUGAACCCCAGCGUCAGCCCUGUGGGGUUGAGAUGCGCAGUACAAAGGCCAUGCUGGUCCUGCAGCCACGCUGCGUCUACAGCCAUCUGGUUUGGUUCUCACC
rnacentral:lncRNA from 1 species